AUAGUACACCCUCCGUCCAGAAAUAAUUGUCAUCAAAAUGGACAAAAAGAGAUGUAUCUAGAACUAAAAUACAUCUAGAUACAUCCCCUUAUAUUCAUUUUGAUGACAAGUAUUUCCGGACGGAGGGAGUAAAAA
rnacentral:pre_miRNA from 1 species